AUGGGGGCAGCCUGUAGGAGAAAUCCUCUUCAGGACAUCUUAAUGCAGCUGGAGCCCAUGGAUGUGUCAUCUGCAUCAUGCUGCGGUGUGUUGGAGAUGCUCCUGACUUUGCAAUGUCACCUGUGCACCGAGUCCAUGAGAUCCUUCACAAGGACAUCAGCUGCCCUUGUCUCAAGCCUGAGGAAGUGCCUGAGGACUGCAAGAAGAGAACUUUGUGCCAAGUUUAACACAGAAGAGGCAAAGCAUUGGCUUUGGGUCAGGAGAGCUACUUGAGUGACCUCCUGCUUCUGGCCCCACUGAAGCCCCCGAGAUGUCCCUCCCUGCCCCAGGGGACGCAGCGCAGCGGGGCACAGCGCUUCCCGGGUCCGGCCCCUCCAUAGCAUGACCAGGGGAUGAGAUUUUGAUCUGAAUUACUUUGGCAAAAAUCCAAAGCAACUCCUUGACUUCAGUGCGGUCGCUGCGCCUGGAUUUGUGCCCGGUGUAAUGGAAAGCAGGGCUGGGGCCCUGUUCUGGAAGCUGAUAUUUAACAUUCACAAGUUAUUUCUCGGUGUUAGGAAAAACAAAUUAACAAGCUCCCAAAAAGAUUUCUUCUCCCAGAACAAAAAGAAUCAAAUUGCAUUUUUCCCCCUUUAAGCUAAAAUCUUUCUGUCUCUGAGACACCUUUGCUGGUUUUGAUUAGAUUUUUUUUUUUUUUUUGAAACCAUUACCUAUAUCAUUUUUUAAGCCCAUGGUUACAUUAGCUUUGGAAGAUGCAGUAUCUGUAAAGGAAAGCUCUUUUCCUCUAACAUGCAGCCUGUACUUGACUGUUUCCUAUUGAUAGGAGAUAGAGCAGCAUGGAAAAUAGCCUGCACGAGGCCAUGGUGAAAAGGGAGGAAAGUUAGCAAGGCUGCUCAGCAUAUAAAAUGACCCGUUCCCUUAUCGUAAUCCCUGGUCCCACUUUCCUACCAUCCCCUCCGCUGUCUGGGCAGAGGUAGAGCUAUCUCCCAGGCUGUAGGGAGCCAGAUAGUAGACGAGCCACACACUUAUCGCCCAGCGCAGCGGGCGUAAUGGGAACUGAAAAUUGCUCUAAAAUAAAGUUGCUGGGGAAUUAACUUCUAAAGGGUGG
rnacentral:lncRNA from 1 species